rnacentral:rRNA from 1 species
AAUCAACGCUGGCGGCGUGCCUAACACAUGCAAGUCGCGCGCGAAAGGGGGGCAACUCCCAAGUAGAGCGGCGAACGGGUGAGUAACACGUGGGUGAUCUACCUUCGAGUGGGGAAUAACGGCGGGAAACUGCUGCUAAUACCGCAUGACAUCCUCGAUUCAAUUCGGGGAUCAAAGCCGGGGACCGCAAGGCCUGGCGCUUGAAGAUGAGCCCGCGUCCGAUUAGCUAGUAGGCGGGGUAAUGGCCCACCUAGGCGACGAUCGGUAGCCGGCCUGAGAGGGCGGACGGCCACAAUGGGACUGAGACACGGCCCAUACUCCUACGGGUGGCUG